UUUUAUGGAGAGUUUGAUUUUGGUUUAGGAUGAAUGUUGGUGGUGUGUUUAAUAUAUGUAAGUUGAGUGGAUUGAUGGGAGUUUGUUUUUUGAUGUUAGUGGUGGAUGGGUGAGUAAUAUGUGGGUAAUUUGUUUGUAAGAUUGGGAUAAUUUUGGGAAAUUGGGGUUAAUAUUGGAUAAUUUGUUUUAUUUUAUGGUGGAGUGGUAAAAGAUGGUUUUUGGUUAUUAUUUAUAGAUGGGUUUGUGGUGUAUUAGUUAGUUGGUAAGGUAAUUGUUUAUUAAGGUGAUGAUGUGUAGUUGAUUUGAGAGGGUGAUUGGUUAUAUUGGGAUUGAGAUAUGGUUUAGAUUUUUAUGGGAGGUAGUAGUAGGGAAUUUUUUGUAAUGGAUGAAAGUUUGAUGGAGUAAUGUUGUGUGAGUGAUGAAGGUUUUUGGAUUGUAAAGUUUUGUUGUUAGGGAAGAAUAAGUGUUGUUUGAAUAAGGUGGUAUUUUGAUGGUAUUUAAUUAGAAAGUUAUGGUUAAUUAUGUGUUAGUAGUUGUGGUAAUAUGUAGGUGGUAAGUGUUGUUUGGAAUUAUUGGGUGUAAAGUGUGUGUAGGUGGUUUUUUAAGUUUGAUGUGAAAGUUUAUGGUUUAAUUGUGGAGGGUUAUUGGAAAUUGGGAGAUUUGAGUAUAGAAGAGGAGAGUGGAAUUUUAUGUGUAGUGGUGAAAUGUGUAGAUAUGUGGAGGAAUAUUAGUGGUGAAGGUGAUUUUUUGGUUUGUAAUUGAUGUUGAGGUGUGAAAGUGUGGGGAGUAAAUAGGAUUAGAUAUUUUGGUAGUUUAUGUUGUAAAUGAUGAGUGUUAGGUGUUAGGGGUUUUGAUGUUUUUAGUGUUGAAGUUAAUAUAUUAAGUAUUUUGUUUGGGGAGUAUGAUUGUAAGGUUGAAAUUUAAAGGAAUUGAUGGGGGUUUGUAUAAGUAGUGGAGUAUGUGGUUUAAUUUGAAGUAAUGUGAAGAAUUUUAUUAGGUUUUGAUAUUUUUUGAUUAUUUUAGAGAUAGGGUUUUUUUUUUUGGGGGAUAAAGUGAUAGGUGGUGUAUGGUUGUUGUUAGUUUGUGUUGUGAGAUGUUGGGUUAAGUUUUGUAAUGAGUGUAAUUUUUGAUUUUAGUUGUUAGUAUUUAGUUGGGUAUUUUAAGGUGAUUGUUGGUGAUAAAUUGGAGGAAGGUGGGGAUGAUGUUAAAUUAUUAUGUUUUUUAUGAUUUGGGUUAUAUAUGUGUUAUAAUGGAUGGUAUAAAGGGUUGUAAAAUUGUGAGGUUGAGUGAAUUUUAUAAAGUUAUUUUUAGUUUGGAUUGUAGGUUGUAAUUUGUUUAUAUGAAGUUGGAAUUGUUAGUAAUUGUGGAUUAGUAUGUUGUGGUGAAUAUGUUUUUGGGUUUUGUAUAUAUUGUUUGUUAUAUUAUGAGAGUUUGUAAUAUUUGAAGUUGGUGAGGUAAUUUUUUGGAGUUAGUUGUUUAAGGUGGGAUAGAUGAUUGGGGUGAAGUUGUAAUAAGGUAGUUGUAUUGGAAGGUGUGGUUGGAU
rnacentral:rRNA from 1 species